GACGAACGCUGGCGGCGUGCUUAACACAUGCAAGUCGAACGGAAAGGCCUGCUUUCCCUUGUGGAUUGCGGGUACUCGAGUGGCGAACGGGUGAGUAACACGUGAGUGAUCUGCCCCCAACUUUGGUAUAAGCCUGGGAAACUGGGUCUAAUUCCCGAUAGGACUGCAGGGUGGUGCCUGUGGUGGAAAACGAUUUUCUAGUGGUUGGGGAUGAGCUCGCGGCCUAUCAGCUUGUUGGUGGGGUAAUGGCCUACAAAGGCGGCGACGGGUAGCCGGCCUGAGAGGGUGGACGGCCACAUUGGGACUGAGAUACGGCCCAGACUCCUACGGGAGGCAGCAGUGGGGAAUAUUGCACAAUGGGCGGAAGCCUGAUGCAGCGACGCCGCGUGGGGGAUGACGGCCUUCGGGUUGUAAACUCCUUUCGACCGCGAGGAAGCCACCUGGUUGGAAGGGUGGUGACGGUAGUGGUAGAAGAAGCACCGGCUAACUACGUG
rnacentral:rRNA from 1 species